GAAAGAUUUUUGGGGGUGAACUUAAGAAAUAAAAACUGACAGCCCAGUAUGAAGUAUAUCCCGUAUCAGCAGGUUGAAAAUGAAAAUCGGGUUGACGUCUAAACCCAAUGUUUGUUUGACAUCAAGCUGCAAAGUUGGGCAGAUGUUGAAUUUUGGUUGGAAUAAACACCACAAAAAAAAGUGAAACGCAUGGCAGCACAGGGUGCCAAACAAAAUGAAGACAGUAUAUGAUCACUAUAUGCUGAUUAUAUUUUUAUCAUCAACAAGUAACCAACAUCAUCUGAUCAUAUAUUGUCUUGCUUUUCUUGCCAUAACUAACACAAUUAUAUCAGCCAGAAAAAAAAAAAAAAAAAACAAAUGUUAAAAAUUCAAGAGUCAAACUGAAAACAAACACUGAUCACCAUAAUGGUGAUGUUUUCAACAAAUCGAAACAAGCUAAACUUUUUCAACAAAUCAUUAACUUUUAAACCUCUAUUAAUUCUCAAUAAGAGCUUCUGUAGACGUAUGACAGAAAUAAAGUCAGUCUGGUUAGUAAUAGUGAAGCUGGUAGUAAUAAGUGAUGCUGCCAUGCAUUUCACCCUUUUUUAUUUUAUUUAUUUUUUUUUUACCAUGCAGUGCUUAUUACAACCAAAAUUUGACAAUUGGAGCUUGACGUCAAACAAACGUUGGGUUUAGGUUCUAAUUUUCAAACAAAAUCUGACGUUUGACCAACGUUGGAUUAAUUGGAGUCCAACGUCUUGUUGACAUAAACAUACUGUGCCUGCUGGGAUAGUUCAGACAAACUAAACAGAUUUCCAAAUAAAAAUCUGAUCACCUUUUUUUCUUCUUUUCUUUUUCUUUCUUUCUUUUUUUUUUUUUUUUUUUUUUUUUAAGGAGAAACAGGUGGAUGAAAAAGAGAAAUGACACACAGUCUCAGAUGAAUCAUGACAGACGCAAAGCUUGUGAUGUUGAAUUGACUGAACCUGUGUAUCAAAAUGUAAUGCUUGACGGGAAGAUGUCAUAGUGUGGUACACAUAGCGAAACAUUUUACAGCUUUCUGUAUCUCUGAUGUGUGGAGCCCUGAAAAGCAACAUGAAUUGAUAAAAAAAAGUGUGUAAUUAAGUGUUUUAAACAUUGACAUCAAAUGUUUUAAACAUUAAAAACAUUGACAGCCAAUCAGAAUCCAUCCUGCUUUAAAGAACUUGAGCAUUUAAAGUGACAGAAUAAACAUAACUGUGAACAAGCCUUAAGCCUCAUUGUUUAUGUUUUCAAAGCAGAAAAUAAAGAUCUGAUAUUGCAGUA